rnacentral:rRNA from 1 species
UGAGGAAUAUUGGUCAAUGGUCGCUAGACUGAACCAGCCAAGUAGCGUGCGGGGUGAAGGCCCUCCGGGUCGUAAACCGCUUUUAGACGGGGAUAAAAGGGCGUACGUGUACGCCGUAUUGCAUGUACCGUCAGAAAAACGGACCGGCUAAUUCCGUGCCAGCAGCCGCGGUAAUACGGAAGGUCCGGGCGUUAUCCGGAUUUAUUGGGUUUAAAGGGAGCGUAGGCGGACUUUCAAGUCAGUGGUAAAAUCGUGUGGCUCAACCAUACCUCGCCAUUGAAACUGGAAGUCUGGAGUGCACACAGGGGUGCCGGAAUUCAUGGUGUAGCGGUGAAAUGCUUAGAUAUCAUGAAGAACUCCGAUCGCGAAGGCAAGUGCCCGGGGUGCAACUGACGCUGAGGCUCGAAGGUGCGGGUAUCGAACAGGAUUAGAUACC